CAGUCGCCGCGGUAAUACAGAGGAUGCAAGCGUUAUCCGGAAUGAUUGGGCGUAAAGCGUCUGUAGGUGGCUUUUCAAGUCCGCCGUCAAAUCCCAGGGCUCAACCCUGGACAAGCGGUGGAAACUACCAAGAUGGAGUACGGUAGGGGCAGAGGGAAUUUCCGGUGGAGCGGUGAAAUGCGUUGAGAUCGGAAGGAACACCAACGGUGAAAGCACUCUGCUGGGCCGACACUGACACUGAGAGACGAAAGUUAGGGGAGAAAAUGGGAUUAGAUACCCCAGUAGUCCCUGUCUCUUAUAC
rnacentral:rRNA from 1 species